UGAAUACGAGAUGCUACGGCGUCGAAGCAGUGUAUGUCAGACUUCCAAGAAAAGCUCGCAAUGUCAUAAAUAAAGAAUGCCUGUACCAUAACCGACACAGGUGGGUAGGUAGAGUAUACUAAGGGGCGCGAGAUAACUCUCUCUAAGGAACUCGGCAAAAUAACUCCGUAACUUCGGGAGAAGGAGUGCCUUCUUUAAGAAGGUUGCAAUAACAAGAUCCAAGCAACUGUUUAUCAAAAACACAGGUCUCCGCUAAGUCGUAAGACGAUGUAUGGGGGCUGACGCCUGCCCAGUGCCAGAAGGUUAAAGAAGUUGGUUAGCUUUUGCGAAGCUGAUGACUGAAGCCCUGGUGAACGGCGGCCGUAACUAUAACGGUCCUAAGGUAGCGAAAUUCCUUGUCGGGUAAGUUCCGACCCGCACGAAAGGCGUAAUGAUUUGGAUACUGUCUCGGAGAGGGACUCGGUGAAAUAGACUUGUCUGUGAAGAUGCGGACUACCUGCACCAGGACAGAAAGACCCUAUGAAGCUUUACUGUAACUUGAAAUUGAAAUUGGACUUUAUUUGCGCAGUAUAGGUGGAAGGCGUUGAAAGUAAUCUUGCGGGAUUAGUGGAGCCAUCAGUGAGAUACCACUCCUAUAAUGUUAGAUUUCUAACUUUGGAUCAUGAUCUGGUCAAAGAACAGUUUCAGGCGGGCAGUUUGACUGGGGUGGUCGCCUCCCAAAUGGUAACGGAGGCGUACAAAGGUUUCCUCUGAACGGGUAGAAAUCGUAUCUAGAGUGUAAAGGCAUAAGGAAGCUUGACUGUGAGACCUACAAGUCGAGCAGGGACGAAAGUCGGUCUUAGUGAUCUGACGGUGCUGAGUGGAAAGGCCGUCACUCAACGGAUAAAAGUUACUCUAGGAUAACAGGCUGAUCUCCCCCAAGAGUUCACAUCGACGGGGAGGUUUGGCACCUCGAUGUCGGCUCAUCGCAUCCUGGGGCGGUAGUACGUCCCAAGGGUUGGGCUGUUCGCCCAUGAAAGCGGUACGCGAGCUGGGUUCAGAACGUCGUGAGACAGUUCGGUCCAUAUCCGGUGUAGGCGUUAGAAAAUUGAGAGGAGCCUUCUUUAGUACGAGAGGACCGAGAAGGACAUACCUCUGGUGUACCAGUUAUCGUGCCAACGGUAAACGCUGGGUAGCUAUGUAUGGAGAGGAUAACCGCUGAAAGCAUCUAAGUGGGAAGCCCACCUCAAGAUGAGUAUUCUC
rnacentral:rRNA from 1 species